rnacentral:rRNA from 1 species
GUCCUAGCCGUAACGGUGAUCACUAGGUGUUGGAGGCAUCGACCCCUCCAGUGCCGCAGCUAACGCAUUAAGUGAUCCGCCUGGGAGUACGGCCGCAAGGUUGAAACUCAAAGGAAUUGACGGGGCCCGCACAAGCGGUGGAGCAUGUGGUUUAAUUCGACACAACGCGAAGAACCUUACCCAGGCUUGACAUGCACUAGACGGGUGUGGAAACACACCUUCCCUUCGGGGCUGGUGCACAGGUGCUGCAUGGCUGUCGU